rnacentral:rRNA from 1 species
AUUGAACGCUGGCGGCAGGCCUAACACAUGCAAGUCGAGCGGAUGAAGGGAGCUUGCUCCUGGAUUCAGCGGCGGACGGGUGAGUAAUGCCUAGGAAUCUGCCUGGUAGUGGGGGAUAACGUCCGGAAACGGGCGCUAAUAACGCAUACGUCCUGAGGGAGAAAGUGGGGGAUCUUCGGACAUCACGCUAUCAGAUGAGCCUAGGUCGGAUUAGCUAGUUGGUGGGGUAAAGGCCUACCAAGUCGACGAUCCGUAACUGGUCUGAGAGGAUGGUCAGUCACACUGGAGCUGGGACACGGUCCAGACUCCUACGGGAGGCAGCAGUGGGGAAUAUUGGACAAUGGGCGAAAGCCUGAUCCAGCCAUGCCGCGUGUGUGAAGAAGGUCUUCGGAUUGUAAAGCACGUUAAGUUGGGAGGAAGGGCAGUAAGUUAAUACCUUGCUGUUUUGACGUUACCAACAGAAUAAGCACCGGCUAACUUCGUG